rnacentral:rRNA from 1 species
GAUGAACGCUGGCGGCGUGCCUAAUACAUGCAAGUCGAGCGAACGGACGAGGAGCUUGCUUUUCUGAUGUUAGCGGCGGACGGGUGAGUAACACGUGGAUAACCUACCUAUAAGACUGGGAUAACUUCGGGAAACCGGAGCUAAUACCGGAUAAUAUUUUGAACCGCAUGGUUCAAAAGUGAAAGACGGUCUUGCUGUCACUUAUAGAUGGAUCCGCGCUGCAUUAGCUAGUUGGUAAGGUAACGGCUUACCAAGGCAACGAUGCAUAGCCGACCUGAGAGGGUGAUCGGCCACACUGGAACUGAGACGCGGUCCAGACUCCUACGGGAGGCAGCAGUAGGGAAUCUUCCGCAAUGGGCGAAAGCCUGACGGAGCAACGCCGCGUGAGUGAUGAAGGUCUUCGGAUCGUAAAACUCUGUUAUUAGGGAAGAACAUAUGUGUAAGUAACUGUGCACAUCUUGACGGUACCUAAUCAGAAAGCCACGGCUAACUACGUG